rnacentral:rRNA from 1 species
UACGUAGGGUGCAAGCGUUGUCCGGAAUUAUUGGGCGUAAAGAGCUCGUAGGCGGUUCGUCGCGUCGGCUGUGAAAACCCGGAGCUCAACUCCGGGCCUGCAGUCGAUACGGGCGGACUGGAGUCCGGCAGGGGAGACUGGAAUUCCUGGUGUAGCGGUGAAAUGCGCAGAUAUCAGGAGGAACACCGGUGGCGAAGGCGGGUCUCUGGAACGCAACUGACGCUGAGACGCGAAAGCGUGGGGAGCAAACAGG